ensembl:lncRNA
CAAGAGUGCAUCUUCUCUCAGCAAUUGCUAUUGAGAGACCUUGAAUCUUACAACACUUCAGAGAAUCUCAUCAAGGCUAUCAGAUUACACAAUUGCAGUGUAUUAUUGUCAUCAAAAAUGUUCUUAAAACCUUGUCUUUUUAUAUGAGGAAUUAUGGGAAGUAUUCUCCAGACUGAUUUUAACUUCUCAUAAACUAGCACUGGAAAAUCACCAUGACAAAGCUUCUAAUCUGCUCCUCAAAUCUGUCCUGACAGAUCCAGCAAGUGAAAGGACUAAGUGUUCGGAGGACUGCAAAGUGCAUCAAGAAAACAUCCCUCACCAGAUGUCAGUGCCUUCAUCUUGAACUUCAGCCUCCAGAGCUGUGAGAAAUCUGUGCUGGUUUUAAGCCAUUUGGCCAUGAAGCACGUUCUUAAAUUACCUGCACAUAAACAAGGAAGAAAUCCAGCCAGGAAGUGAUAGCCCAAGGCAUGGAGGAAGCCAAGUCAGCUAGAGCUGGUGCAGCUGCCCACCUUACAGCUUGCAGACUCUGUGCUGACCCAUGCCUGUGUAUGCGGCUUUGGCCUAUUCAUCCUCUCCUUAGGACUCCCUGGCCAUGCAUAUCAGCAACUGCAAUUACACUCCUGGUCUGGCCGCUCUGCACAUUCCCUGCCUGGGUGCCAACGCUGGGCCUAGUCAAGCAGGGAGGAGAUGAAAGGAGGUCAUGUGUGGGCACGCAUGCCCAGUCUAUGCCAUAGAUGUUUGCCCUGCCUGCUGGAAACAGGCCUUUCCAGUGCAGCCUGCAGUAAAUAAGCCUCCAGCUCCACUGGGCACUGUGAUUCCCUCUCCUCCCACUGCCAUUGGCAAAAACCAACAGAGUUUUAAAAAAUGGACAUUUCUCUCCUUUCUGAAAAAACACUGCGCUGGUUUAAAUAAUUCAAAAGAAAAGACAUUCCUUCCUCUUUUUCUCCAAAAGCCCACAUGUUCCCUAAAAUCAGAGGCUUAGCUCUUAAGGUCAGUUGGUAAAAUAAAGCGGGGGGGGGGGGGCGCAGUGACAGUUAAUGUGAGCCCACAUGACGUAGGCUGUGUGACAAGACAGCAUGGUGGCAGGCCACAUGCCAAGGCAACAUGGCAGUGCUCCAGAACAAAACAGAAAAACCAGAGAGAAAGCCAUUUACAAACUGGGGUGGGUGGAGACCAGGCUAAUUUCCAAGAAGGGUAACAAAUGUGCAGACAACAAGGCAUACUAAGCUCUAAGUCAUGCACAUCGUGCAGCAAGCUCUCUGGAUACUUAGCUUGUACUGGCAAAGUGAGCACAGCAGAAAAAAAGUCUCUUGUAGCUGGAAGAAAAACAAAGGCCAUAUAUUCCUUCUCCAUCCCCCAUGUGGUGGGAAAAGCAGCAAAUAGUUCUCUGCACAUCAUGAGAAGAGUCCCCUGA